rnacentral:lncRNA from 1 species
GACAGGUGUUAAAAAAUUGUCAACCUAAAAAACUUUCAAACUGGUCGGCUCUGAUUUUUAGUAUUGAAAAAAGUCAGUUAGUGAAACUUGAAUUGACAAAAGAGCAGAACAGAAAACAUCACAUAAACUCUCCUAAACUGAUCGUUCUGGUCUGUCUUUCUGCUUCUCAGGUUCUGAGGAUUGACCUCUGACCUUGUCUGAGAUCUUUACGAAGAGGCUGAAGCCCUCGGCGGAUUUCAGCAGCAGUCUGGUGGAGAUAUUCUGGCAGAAAUCCUUCGCUUUGGUGCUGGACUCCACCUCAAACGCCUGCAGGGUGAAAAGAAAAAACAAAUUUACGCAGGAGAAAUUUUAAAGGUUAUUUUUAAAUUUAUUGGUUGUUUUAAGUGUGCCGCACCUCAUCUGUGUCAUCGGGGAAGUAGACCUUGUGGAAGAUUUGGGUGGUUUUGUGCUGGAUGGCCUCCACUUCCACCAAAUGAGGCGGAUACUUUCUGGAUCCAUUACUGUCACCAAAACAAGAACAAACUGAGAACAUUAUCAACACCAAACAUUCUGCAGACAGCGGGUGGUGCUUCUUGGACUGGAGGAAGCGCUGGAUGUGCGGGAGCAGCACGUUGCUGGGGGGGAACAGGCCCGUGCACAGCCACAGCAGCUCCCAGCCUUUCUCCUCGCUGUACCUGCAGCAGCAGCAGCGCUCAGCGCUGGAAGACCGCUCAACCAGAGCAGCACCCGACGCACCGCUUCCCGAGAAGGAUUCACCGACGCACUUGUCGUGGUUGUCCGUGAGCUGCUUGAGGAUCUGACAGUAGAUCUCGUCUUUCAGAGGCUCGCCCUUCAGCGCCCCCUCAAAGAUCUGGUCUGUCAGCUCGUUGACGGAUCGCGUCCGCUUGGAGGGGUAGUCGCCCAUGUACUUCAUCAUAGGUGGGUUUGAAGUCAAGAAAUUCACAAGGUUAGAAUCUGAAUUAGAGAGUUAUCCAGAGAGUUCCCAGCGGUCUUUUAAUUAUGAUUAAGCCCUUUUGAGGCUCAAUUUAGAAAAAAAAACUGUCAUUUUCUAGAACAUAGUUCUGCAGAGCGGCAGCUGUUCAUUAGAAAUUCACCUCUAAAUUGUGGACUGAACCAUUUGCAUAGAGUAAACCCGCCCCCAUUCCCAUUAUCCAUCUGUUUAUAGUCUCUCCCGCUAGCUCACAGCCCCUCACAACCUCAAUCUAACAUUAGCGGAGCAACAAAAACGACAAGCAAUAUCAGAGCUAUCCAGCCAUAAAGUUUACAGGCAGAUACCAGCUAAGAUGAGG